rnacentral:sRNA from 1 species
CCCUCGCGCCGACGAUCUUCUCGCGCAUUCGGUCCAGCC